rnacentral:misc_RNA from 1 species
UCAUUUGCUGCUGGAGAGU